rnacentral:rRNA from 1 species
UGGGGAAUUUUGGACAAUGGGCGCAAGCCUGAUCCAGCCAUGCCGCGUGGAUGAUGAAGGCCUUAGGGUUGUAAAAUCCUUUCGCCGAGGACGAUAAUGACGGUACUCGGAGAAGAAGCUCCGGCUAACUUCGUGCCAGCAGCCGCGGUAAUACGUAGGGACCAAGCGUUGUUCGGAUUUACUGGGCGUAAAGGGCGCGUAGGCGGCGUGGUAAGUCAUCUGUGAAAUCUCCGAGCUUAACUCGGAACGGUCAGAUGAUACUGCUGUGCUAGAGUGCAGAAGGGGCAAUCGGAAUUCUUGGUGUAGCGGUGAAAUGCGUAGAUAUCAAGAGGAACACCUGAGGUGAAGACGGGUUGCUGGGCUGACACUGACGCUGAGGCGCGAAAGCCAGGGGAGCAAACGGGAUUAGAUACCCAAGUAGUCCCUGAGCGGGCUGGCAAGGCGCAU